rnacentral:rRNA from 1 species
ACGGAGGGUGCGAGCGUUGUCCGGAAUCACUGGGCGUAAAGAGCUCGUAGGCGGCUCGGUAAGUCAACUGUGAAAGCUCCGGGCUCAACUCGGAGAAGCCAGUUGAUACUGCUGUGGCUAGAGUCCGGUAGGGGAGCGUGGAAUUCCUGGUGUAGCGGUGAAAUGCGCAGAUAUCAGGAGGAACACCAGCGGCGAAGGCGGCGCUCUGGGCCGGAACUGACGCUGAGGAGCGAAAGCGUGGGUAGCAAACAGGA